CUACGGGUGGCUGCAGUCGAGAAUCUUUCGCAAUGGGGGAAACCCUGACGAAGCGACGUCGCGUGGGUGAUGAAGGUCUUCGGAUCGUAAAGCCCUGUCACCUGGGAAGAAGGCCCUUGAGACUAAUAGUGUUAAGGGUUGACUGUACCAAGAGAGGAAGCCCCGGCUAACUCCGUGCCAGCAGCCGCGGUAAUACGGAGGGGGCUAGCGUUGUUCGGAUUUAUUGGGCGUAAAGGGUGUGUAGGCGGCUAUGUAAGUCAGAUGUGAAAGCCCUUGGCUCAACCAAGGAAUUGCAUUUGAAACUACAUAGCUUGAGUAUGAGAAAGGAGAGUGGAAUUCCCGGUGUAGAGGUGAAAUUCGUAGAUAUCGGGAGGAACACCUGUGGCGAAGGCGACUCUCUGGCUCAAUACUGACGCUGAAACACGAAAGCUAGGGGAGCGAACGGGAUUAGAUACCCUCGUAGUC
rnacentral:rRNA from 1 species